AGCAGGAUCAUUCUCGUAUACGAUUAUGAUGUCUCUCCGGCUGCGGCUGGUUUGACACACAAUGGGGUGGAUUUCCUUCGGGAGAACCACUUCCUCUCGCUUCGAAUGAGAGCUUUACGGUCGGAUUAGAGACCGCUCGAAGGAGACUUGCGUCCUCUUCUCGAAUUGCUUGCUGUGCUUGAGCCGAGGUAAGUCUACCAUUCUAUGGCCUUGCACACAGCUUUCGGGCUUCAUAAGAGAGAACCUUCUUCUGAAAGCACUUUUUUCUGACCGGUUAAGCCCUGGGGCGAUGAGUCAUCUUCUCCUGAGUCGCCAGUUUUUACUGGCUUGAUUCUGAGAAGCAAGGUUCCACUCCGGUGGGGCCUAAGUUACAUCACUGGACGAUGGAUGUCUCGGUUCGAAGCUCGAUGAAGGUCGCAGCAAAGUGCGAUAAGUGUCACGACUUGCAGACUCUAGUGAGCUGACCAAUUACUGAAUGCAAAUUGCGGCCAGUUAAGUCUGGCCAUGCAUUGCAGAGUGUUGUUGAUAUCGGUCAUCCGCCGAUGCUCGAAAGAGUAUUCGUCAGUGGGACCUCGUUGUUGUCUGGUGGACUACUACCGACCAACGUCAAAAGAUAUCCACAUCUGCAUUCUUCUUCGGAAGUUUGCCAUGUGCGAUUGGAGAUACAAACUCACAAUCGACAGCCUCUGGCAGUCGCGUUGAAGGAACCUUCUUCAACCUCUGCGAUGCAGGAUAACGCGCUGAACUUAAGCAUAUUACUAAGCGCAGGAAAAGAAAACAACAGUGAUUUCCCUAGUAACGGCGAGUGAACAGGAAACAGCCCAAGAUUGAAUCCGUGGUGGAGCGAACGCGAAACCAUGGAAUUGUAGUGCCAGGGGGCGAGGCAAGGGUCGAGCAGUGUGGUUGAAUGGCCUGAAAAGGCUAAUCCACAGAGGGUUAUAGUCCCAUAUGUGCCACACUUCGCUAGGCUCAACAACGCUUCGCUCUUCCAAGAGUCGUACAGUUUGGGAAUGCUGUGCAAAACCGCUGGUGUGCUUCAGCGAAGGCUAAAUAUUGCUUCGAGACCGAUAGCGAACAAGUAGUGUGAACGAAAGAUGAAAAGAACUUUGAAAAGAGAGUGAAAAGUACCUGAAAUCGUCCAGUGUGAAGGGUAUAGGAAACCUGUUAACCGGCCCUCUGGGUCGGUGUUGAUCGACAGGUUGACCUCUCCCGGUGGUCCGCCGAGCAUUCCGGUUUUACCGGCGUGUCAGCGAGGCCGAUACGGUGAGUGGGUCGACUGGUCUUUGCCACUCUUCGCUCGGGCGUCGCAGUGUUUGGCUGGUGUGCGGGAGCAUCUGCUUCUUCGGAGGUGGUUCUCACGUGUGCUAGCUUUGCGCCACGAUGCUCGAAGCACGGUAUGGCUUCCGAUUAUGAAAUGAUCUUAUACCACCCGUCUUGAAACACGGACCAAGGAGUCCACCGAAUGUGCGAGUGUUAUGGUGUCAAACCAGAGCCCUUAGGGGCGGUAGACGCGUAAUGAAAGUGACAUAAAUCUGUGAUCCGUAGCCUCGGCCGCGGUGCAACAGAGCUCGAUCCUGAUUAUUUAUAAAAGGGAUUUGAAGUCAAGCACAUUCGCUGGGACCCGAAAGAUGGCGAGCUUUUCCCAGGCCGGUCGAAGCCAGGUGAAAACUUGGUGGAGGACCGAAUGCAGUACUGACGUGCAAAUCGUUUGCCAGAUCUGGGUAAAGGGGCGAAAGACUCAUCGAGCCAUCUAGUAGCUGGUUCCUAC
rnacentral:misc_RNA from 1 species